AAUGCAUAUGUUUCAUGUUGGUUCUUUAGUCCCUCUUUGGUACAAGCCUAAGAAUUGAAUUCAGUAAUUAUGAAAUAGAGAUCAUGAACUGUAAUACAUAAUAAGUUCAAUUACUGUUAAUAAAAUGAGAUGAACUCAUUUUUAAGAGUCUACCAAACAAGCCAUACUCUUUAUUAAAUUGAAUUGUUGCAAUUCAGUGGGACAUCCAAACAACCAACUAGCUCAUAAGUUCCAUAUGCAACUAGUUGGACUGUAAAUCCCCACCCUUCUUGAAUCCAAUCUCAGUGGUUGGAAUUCUAAUGAUCUCUGCUGCAUCAAUGGUCACCGACCUAUAUUGAAUUCUGAUGGCGGCAGUCACGCAAGCAGUCGUGAUUGGCAACAGUGAGGGUGUGGAAACCGAAGAUGAAGACUCUGGUGAUUAUUGGUGAUGGUGGUCAUCUGAUCAUUCGGGUCACUUAGUACCUUUGGCAAUGUAUUUUAUAUGAGAAUUGGGUGAUCUCCUUAAUCAAGGUUAAGGAAUCUUAAUCAUGAUAAGGAGUGUUUUGUUUUUGCUCUUGCCGUUCUUAAGAUAUCAUAAAGUAGCUUAUACGUCUAAAUAUAUGACACGGAUUGUGUGAGCCACACCCAUAUUUUUUUUAGUCAUCCAUUAAUCUAACUUAAUAAAUAUUUGUCCUGUUACACGAAGUGAUCAUUUUAGUGGGGCCAACCUUUUGAAAGCGUUGGAUGUUGUUCACACAUGGAAUAUGAGCUAGGGCGAUAAAUUUAGGUUCUGGAUGGUUGCGUGUGAGACCGGUUUCAACUGGGCUUGGCCCAUGUGGGUGGAAAAGAAACGAAAAAUCAUCUACCAAACGAGAAACCAAAAAUAACAAGCAUUUUAAUUUUUUAAUUUUUUAAUUUUUUCUUUUCAUCCGCCGGCGGGUGGAAAUCGAAGGCCGUGACGGUGGUGGGUCACACCAGUGUUGGUGGUUCGGAGGCGCACGAAAAAUCGCAGCCGAAACUGUCGGAGAUGCUGGAACAGAGCCGAAACGGUGGAUCAGCGAGGCUGCGAUGCUGCCGCUGCAACCGAGGAACCAGGUGUGCGAACAAGGCGAUUACGGUUCCGCUCUUCGAUGGUAUCGGUGAUGCCGGUAUUAAUGGCGGGAGGGCGAUGGGCGAGGGCGAGGACACUGGAUGGGUAUGACAGCCGGGUUUGAUGGAUGGGUUCGAUCGACAGCGUCGCGGAGGCACGGCUGGUAGCUGCGGACGGGGAGAUGGUGCCCGAAAUUGGAGGCGCUGCGCUGUCGAUGCGCCAAUCGACGCUGCUCACGGAGGUUAACGUUGUCACAAAACCUAUUAUCAGCGUGCUUGUACUACAUCUCUAGCACAUUGGAGGCUGCAGUUGUCAACCUAAAUCCAGUCUUUACUUUCAUAUUAUCUAUAAUGUCAAUGCAAGAGAAUCUUGGAAUCAACACCUGGUGGGGUAAAGGGAAGAUCUUUGGGACUCUUUUAUCUGUCUCUGGUGCUUCAACUCUCAUGUUCUGGAAAGAUUCAACUGAGAGUCUGCUUGGCACAACCAGCUUGACAGAAUGGGUGUUUGGCUUGGUUAUGGUGGUUCUUGGGGUUCUUGCACUUAGCACAUGGAUUUUGUUGCUGAGGCCGAUGACAAAACGAUACCCAGCAGAGUUUUCCCUGACAGCCAUAAUGUUUUUCUUUGGAACAUUACAAACAGCUGUCAUAGCCAUAUUUACGAGUCACGAAGCCACAGAAUGGAGGCUUCAUUGGGAUUAAGAGCUCCUAAAUAUAGUAUUUGGAGCCUUGUUUUACUGUGGCUUAUCGAACCUCUUCACUACAUGGUGUCCUGGAGUAAAGGGACCCAUCUUUGUGGCCUCAUUUGCUCCUUUUGGCUUGGUUUUGACCACGAUCCUGGAAAUUAUAUUUCUAGGCGACACCUUGUACUUGGGAAGGUAAUUUCUUUAGCAAUUCAUCAUGUGGCUAACAUUCACAUCAAUGACCAAUCUAGACCAUCAAAAUUGUGGGCCCCACUGUAUUUGGCAUACAUCAAAAGUCGCACCAAUUGGAUGAUCUUUACAGUCAGGAUUUGCCUAUUGAAUUAGAACCACCAUUUUUUUAAUCAGCAAUUUAGGGGCCACCAAUCAGAUGGUCACGAUUGUCUGAGUAAUGUGAUUUUUGGUGUUAUGCAUCAUCCGCCAUGAGACCAUGGUUUUCAGUCUGAAUGAAGAGUGCAUGCUUUCCACCUAUAUCUUGGAUGAGUCGCCAUUUUUAUGGUGGAGUGACCUCUUGGAUCAGCAUGAUUUCCUGACCUUGUUGGAUGAUUAUGAUGCAAAUACAAAUAGCAGAGUGGCACCACAAAUAUGGGUGUACGCUGUCUGGGGAAUUUUGGUCAUUGGGUACGGAUGCCUUCUACCUCUUACAGCAGAGGGUAACAGAGGGAAGAUAUCUUCAACAACUAACAAACAGAGGGGAGGCAUGUAUAAUUGUCUUCUAUUUGUGGGGGAAGGUUGUUGCAAGUAAACCAUUUUUGGGAAGGUGAUUGCAAGUAAUCCAUUAUAGCCACUUUCCCUCUAGAUCUAACACCGUACACCUCUCAAAAUCUAUGUAGACAUAGUUAUGAGCAAUCAGUUUCUCAAAGAUAAAUGGAUGGCACAUAAUAAGCUGUGCAUCAAAUAGUUUUUUUUCGAUACUAAUAUAUUGAACACUAUUCUCACAUAUUCCUUUGAAUUUUUGCAGCAUGUUGGAUCAAUCAUGGUAGUUUUGGGCCUUUACGUUUUUCUAUGGUCCAAAUCCAAGGAGGACAAUUGCGACACAAUUAACACAAUGGAUCCAUUGGACAAAGACAAUUGCACCACCGCCUUGUUGGUCUAAACCGUAGCUCAGGACUCACUUCUUGGUUGUGUACUUAAAGCUGGAAUUCCAACCUGUUCCCUCAUGUAUCUAGAAAUUAAGUUGCUUAUUUUCGAGGAAGAAUUGUCUUGACAACAGAAGACUGAAAUCCUUUCUUCCUCCUUGUGUAACCAGUGUAACCAUUAAAAUUAUUGAUUAAUUCUUUCAUUUAACGUUGUUUGUUUAGAAAAGCACGAAAA